AUGCUUCUCUUAAGGAGUCUUCAGACACCCUGGAAAAGGCAACUGUUUCAACUGUUGAGGUCCAGUUACCCAGCACCGAACUUAGUAGAGUUCCCAGAGAGAGCCAACCAAUACCAGCUCUCUGUCUCUCCAAUCUGGAUACCAGUACUCAAGAAGUUCUUAGCAGUGUUUUUUCCAUCUACAAGUCAGUUAUCAAAAGUGGAGAGUAAAUCCUUGGCCGUUGUCAGUUCAUCUGAUGAGUCCCUUGAGGCUUGUUGGUUUGUUGAUGGUGUCCUAUCAAAGCUUGAUGACUAUUCUAUUUCCCAGUCACCCUCACCCAAUGAAGACUUGAGCGUGAGUACUCAAUAUUCUCAACUGAGCUCAGAAGAGAGUGUCAGAAUCACAGAGUCCUCAACUAGUCUGAUUCAGAGCAUUAAGAAGCUCUCUAGCAAUGACUUUCAGACUCAGGCAGAAGAGGCAGUGAGUAAAGUGCUGAUGAGAUCCAGUCAUUCCUUUAUCACACAGAUCAGCCAUACUGGUCUUCAGAAAAGUCUGCAGGCUGGCUUAUCAUCUAGCUCACCAUCUGAGAUCCAUGUCCUUUCAGAAUCCAUGUCCUCUGAGAAUACAGCCUCUGGAUUAGUGGAAACCUUUGUCAAAGGAAUGGCGACUAUUUUCCAGAAAAAUGAGUCCACUGACACUGUGCUACUGGAAAGAAGUGGGAGAGUUUCGCAGUGCUCCCACGGGGGCUCCCAACUGGAUGAUACUGAAUUGAGUGUUAAAAUAUCAGAGGAGAAGCUAUGGUCAACAGCUAAGACCAUCUGCGUCAGUAUGAAGAACACACUUAAGGAUUUCUUCACAGGGCUGAAGCCAUCCGGAUCCGAAAGGACAGAAAAGGCUUCUUCCAAAGCGACCCUUGGGGAAAUCCUGGUUGCUAUCCAGAGUGAAGUCUCAAACUUCGGGCGAAUGAAGGAUUCCAGGGAGCUCCUUCAGAUCAAUGAUAUGGUAGGAACUAUGCUGAAGGAGAUUGAGAAAAGUGAGGAUGACAGUGAACAAGUCUGCCAAGACAUCCCUAGAACAUGUUCAUCUUUGUCCACUUCUUUAAAUGGCCGUAGUUCCUUGUCCAGCUCUUCAAAUGGUCCUAGGUCAGAGUGUGAGUUAGAGAUCAACCUCCCUGGCACUCCCAUCCCUGACAAAGUGCCUUUUGAUCUGACCUGCCCCAUCGUCAGGAGCUCCUGCAUCGACACCAGGGUCUCUAAAAUGCCAGAGAUUUCUUCAAGUGACCUAAAGACAAAGAUGAUGGCACACACAGAUGACCCCCAGCAUCGUAACAGUCCAAUGACUGACAGCAGCCGACCACCGAGUGCUAAAGCCUCUUUUCGAUCCUCCACUCCGUCUUUCACCAGCAAGCGAACAACUUUGGUACCAAAGGGAGAUGGGAUUGACAUUGAAGAGAAUGAGGUGUGUAUCCCCAGCAGCUCUGGCCAUCUGAGGGAGCUCUUAAUCACCCCGGACAUCAGCAUUCCCACUGCAUUCCCACUGCAGUACUUGAUGGACUCCAGCAAAGAUGAUGGCAUCUGUUUUGUCACCAUACUGGUGAUAAGGUUGCUAUCGGAGAUCAGACCCUCAGCCCUAGAUAGACCCUCCCAACAGGCAGCAGAUCUGACAGAAACAUCUCAGCAACUCAUCAGACAAGUCCUGUCUGAGUUCUAUGCUGCAUCCAGAUUCACCAGGACACAGGCUUAUUCCCAGAACCUGAACAUCCAAAGGGUGUUCAGAGGUGUACAUAAAAACCUCAUGGAGGAGUUUGGCUCUUAUAACACCCUGCAAGCAGCUAUUUCCUCCCAGGACCCUGCAUUUGACCGAGUCCUGGUAAAGUCCUUGACCCAGCAGCUGGUACAGGGAUACAAGGAGGCGUCAAGACCAGCUUCUGCUGCAAGAAACCCAUCAGACCAGGCUGAGACAGAGAGGGGGGCUGAGCAGAAAGCAAGAAGGAGCUUCCUUUGCUUUUCAAUGACCAAACUCAGGAUCAACUUCAAGCGUUCCAAGAGAGGAAACAAAAAGGACUGCCAUUCAGUCCAGGACCAGACUGAGAUUCCCUCUACUGAUGGACAUUGCAUAGGUAAGGAUGUUUUAGAGCUCUGCUAUAGCUUGUAGUUUUGUUUAGGUGUGUGUUAGAAACAUAGGAAUGCCUACCAAACUCAUAGCACUGUUAUUUUUCAACGUUACUAUACUGCAUCUCUCUCUCUCUCUCUCUCUUACCCCAUCCAUUUCUCUUGUGUUUCUAGCUCCAGUUGGAGAGGGUUCUCCCUCCAUAUCUCAGCCUGUCAAAAAAACGAUCCUUGAUUGUCAGGGUCUUUUCAGCAAUGAUGAAGCCAUUCAGGCGCUUCACAAAGAAGAACCUUAACCUGUUACGCUGCAUGAAGAACUACUUUUGUAACAGCAAGACUUUUGACAAGAGGAAUUUCUGCAUGUCUAACCUUUCAAAGUCUAUUGAUCAAAUAAAUG
rnacentral:lncRNA from 1 species